rnacentral:tRNA from 3 species
GCAGGUGUAGUUCAAUGGUAGAACCCUAGCCUUCCAAGCUAGCUACGUGGGUUCGAUUCCCACUACCUGCUCCA